GGGGUUGUGGCUCAGUGGUGGAGCGCUCGCCUUGCACUUGUGAAACCCUGGGUUCAAUCCUCAGCACCA
rfam:Ictidomys tridecemlineatus contig027150, whole genome shotgun sequence.